rnacentral:lncRNA from 1 species
GUCGUCACUUCCUCGCGGAGCGGGCGGUGCGGCCCGGGCUGUGCGGCCCGGGCUGUGACCCAGCGGCUCGCGCGGUGGCGCGCAGGGCCCUGCAGCCAGCCGCCCCGCCCGCGCCCCCGGCUCCGCGCGCCCCUGGCCCCAGGCGCCGUCUCCCCACUCUGCGCGCCCUCGGCUGCGGGGUAGCGGGCAGCCCUGCGCUGCCGGCCGCCUAGCCUGCACCCCCCGCCCUGGGAGGGAAGCCUCGCUCCAGCCGCGUCGUUUCCGCGCCGAAGUGCGAUCCGGGGCCCCGCGCUGGAGUCCCCUGCUCUCAGGCUGGUCUGGAAGGUGGCAGUUGCUGGAGUACCAGGGCACCAAGUGGAGGAUGUGGUAGACAGCCUCUAAGAUGCGCCCCCUGCCAAUGAUCUCUGCCUCCAGGGAGGAGCUAGAAGGCAGAGAGAAAGCCACUCAGGACUUCCCAUCCCAGAAGAUAAAGGUGAGGAAAGCAGCAGCAGCAGCCACAGGCCAGUAUUCCAGAGCAGCUUUGGGUUCCUGUCAAGACCUGCUUUGAGAAGGAGGUGGCUGUGGGGCUGGAGGGCUGGGCCUGUUCCUGAGCUGGCUGCUGGCAGCACAGCAAUGAGGCAACAUUGAGAACUGCGACACGAGGCCCAGUCCUGCUACUAAACCAACUGUGUGGACUUGCAUAGUCACUUCACCCCUCGGGCCUCCAUUUCUCCACUUUGGAAAGCAGUGUUGGGACGAUGUUAAGGGUUUGCAACCUUCCAACAUGAAGACUUAUUUUUAAAAGCAAAACAUUUCAAAGAGUCCACAUGACAGUAGUGUUCAUUUUGGCAUCUGUUGAUUUAACAAAUACAAAAUUAGGCUGGGUGUAGUUGCUAACGCCUGUAAUUCCAGCACUUUGGGAGACCGAGGCAGGAGGAUCACCUGAAAUCAGGAGUUCGAGACCAGCCUGGCCAACAUGGUGGAACUCCAUCACUACCAAAAAUACAAAAAUUAGCUGGGCUUGGUGGCACGUGCCUGUAAUCCCAGCUACUCGGGAGGCUGAGGCAGGAGAAUCAUUUGAACCCGGGAGGCAGAGGUUGCAGUGACCUGAGAUUGCACCACUGUACUCCAGCCUGGGCAACAGGGCAAGACUCCAUUAAAAAAAAAAAUACAAAAUUAGGCAUGGUGGUGUUCGUCUGUAGUCCCAUCUAUUUGAGAGGUUAAGGCGGGAGGAUCACUUGAGCUCAGGAGUUUGAGUUUGCAGUGAGCUGUGGUCUGCCUGU